rnacentral:rRNA from 1 species
CGCACGGGUGAGUAACACGUAUCCAACCUGCCGUCUACUCUUGGACAGCCUUCUGAAAGGAAGAUUAAUACAAGAUGGCAUCAUGAGUCCGCAUGUUCACAUGAUUAAAGGUAUUCCGGUAGACGAUGGGAUGCGUUCCAUUAGAUAGUAGGCGGGGUAACGGCCCACCUAGUCUUCGAUGGAUAGGGUUCUGAGAGGAAGGUCCCCCACAUUGGAACUGAGACACGGUCCAA